rnacentral:rRNA from 1 species
CAGUCGCCGCGGUAAUACGGAGGGGGCUAGCGUUGUUCGGAAUUACUGGGCGUAAAGCGUACGUAGGCGGCUUUGUAAGUUAGAGGUGAAAGCCUGAUGCUCAACAUCAGAAUUGCCUUUAAGACUGCAUCGCUUGAACGUCGGAGAGGUGAGUGGAAUUCCGAGUGUAGAGGUGAAAUUCGUAGAUAUUCGCAAGAACACCAGUGGCGAAGGCGGCUCACUGGCCCAUAACUGACGCUGAAGCACGAAAGCGUGGGGAGCAAACAGGAUUAGAUACCCCCGUAGUCCCUGUCUCUUAUAC